UACAGAGGAGCCAAGCGUUGUCCGGAUUGACUGGGCGUAAAGCGCACGCAGGCGGUCGUGCGCGUGGGGUGUGAAAUCUGGCCGCUUAACGGCCAGGCGCCAUCCCAUACGGCACGACUGGAGCGAUGCAGAGGUCGGUGGAAUUGCCGGUGUAGUGGUGAAAUGCGUAGAGAUCGGCAGGAACACCCAGGGGGAAACCAGCCGACUGGGCAUCUGCUGACGCUGAGGUGCGAGAGCGUGGGGAGCGAACAGG
rnacentral:rRNA from 1 species